rnacentral:lncRNA from 1 species
UGAAAUCCAGGGAAAUAUGAAACUCAUUCGGAAAUUUCAUAAAACAUAGCUUUAAAUUCCAAAAUUACAUAAAACAUCUAGAAGUAACAGAUAACAUAAUAUUUCUAGAACUAUAAGUGGAAGAAGCAACACAUGACAUAAUAGAUACUAGCAUUUAUUUAUAUUUCCUAUUGAUAGCAAACCAGAAACAAAUCAUAAUUCAUAUUAAAAAUACUAUUUUGCUCUAUAUGUUCGGUCUUCGUCAUUUUUUACUCUCCUCUUCGCGCUGUUUAUUUUUUUUACUCUCCUCUUCGCGCUGUUCAUUUAAAAAAAAAAAAAAAAAAAAAAAAAA